UACAGAGGGGGCAAGCGUUGUUCGGAAUUACUGGGCGUAAAGGGCGCGUAGGUGGCCUUCUAAGUCGAACGUGAAAUCCCUGGGCUCAACCCAGGAACUGCGUCCGAUACUGGAAGGCUUGAAUCCGGGAGAGGGAUGCGGAAUUCCGGGUGUAGCGGUGGAAUGCGUAGAGAUCCGGAAGAACACCGGUGGCGAAGGCGGCCCGCUGGGCAGGAAGGCUCGCAAGAGCCGGCUGACGCUGAGGCGCGACAGCGUGGGGAGCAAACAGG
rnacentral:rRNA from 1 species